ensembl:piRNA 21ur-389 ncRNA
UGAACACAAUUUUUGCAAUUU